rnacentral:rRNA from 1 species
GACGAACGCUGGCGGCGUGCUUAACACAUGCAAGUCGAACGGAAAGGCCCUGCUUGCAGGGUACUCGAGUGGCGAACGGGUGAGUAACACGUGGGUGAUCUGCCCUGCACUUCGGGAUAAGCCUGGGAAACUGGGUCUAAUACCGGAUAGGAGCCAUUUUUAGUGUGAUGGUUGGAAAGUUUUUUCGGUGUAGGAUGAGCUCGCGGCCUAUCAGCUUGUUGGUGGGGUAAUGGCCUACCAAGGCGGCGACGGGUAGCCGGCCUGAGAGGGUGGGCGGCCACAUUGGGACUGAGAUACGGCCCAGACUCCUACGGGAGGCAGCAGUGGGGAAUAUUGCACAAUGGGCGCAAGCCUGAUGCAGCGACGCCGCGUGGGGGAUGACGGCCUUCGGGUUGUAAACUCCUUUCGCUAGGGACGAAGCUUUUGUGACGGUACCUAGAUAAGAAGCACCGGCUAACUACGU